GACGAACGCUGGCGGCGUGCCUAAUACAUGCAAGUAGAACGCUGAAGGAGGAGCUUGCUUCUCUGGAUGAGUUGCGAACGGGUGAGUAACGCGUAGGUAACCUGCCUGGUAGCGGGGGAUAACUAUUGGAAACGAUAGCUAAUACCGCAUAACAGUAGAUAUCGCAUGAUAUCUACUUGAAAGGUGCAAUUGCAUCACUACCAGAUGGACCUGCGUUGUAUUAGCUAGUUGGUGAGGUAACGGCUCACCAAGGCGACGAUACAUAGCCGACCUGAGAGGGUGGUCGGCCACACUGGGACUGAGACACGGCCCAGACUCCUACGGGAGGCAGCAGUAGGGAAUCUUCGGCAAUGGACGGAAGUCUGACCGAGCAACGCCGCGGGAGUGAAGAAGGUUUUCGGAUCGUAAAGCUCUGUUGUAAGAGAAGAACGAGUGUGAGAGUGGAAAGUUCACACUGUGACGGUAUCUUACCAGAAAGGGACGGCUAACUACGUG
rnacentral:rRNA from 1 species